GAUCCGAAUGGCGGACGUGAGAACUGCGGACGGCAAGGUUCAAAGACGUGGUGUGGUAAAUCUAGCGGCGUUGGAGAUUCGAUAAAUCCGGGAAGACCGGAUGUUACGGGCUGGGGUGUUACGACGCCGCAUUAACAGCCCUGGUUGCAGCAUAACAACCAGCAUGACAGCUCGCGCGUAGCAGUGGUGGUAAAAAUAGGAGAGAGAAAAAUAUAUUGGUAGUAGAAGAAACGGUAGGAAGUAUAGAGAAGACAAAAUAAAAACAAAAGUUCGCCAUCGUUUUCGAAUGCAAAAUUAGUUCGUGAUUAUUGAAAGCAAUUAAAAUAUACUGUUUCUUGUGACAUAAAAGCUUGAAAUAAGUAAUUAAAAUCAGCAGGGAAAAGUUCGGUCAGUUGCGAUACCACUUCCAACACGGUGAAGCUACAAUUUAUUAUUCGGAUUAAUAAAUUCGGAUUCUGGCGACAAAUUAGGUUGAUCCGCUGAACCAGUAUUGUAGAUUCAGUUUGACGACGAACCCGC